AGAACUUUAAUAUAUUUAGUAUACCUAAUUGCAGAUUAGUAAGUUAUAGUUUUU
rnacentral:tRNA from 1 species